AUUGAACGCUGGCGGCAGGCCUAACACAUGCAAGUCGAACGAGUGGCGGACGGGUGAGUAAUGUAUGGGAAACUGCCCGAUGGAGGGGGAUAACUACUGGAAACGGUAGCUAAUACCGCAUACCAUCGGAUGUGCCCAGAUGGGAUUAGCUUGUAGGUGAGGUAACGGCUAACCUAGGCGACGAUCCCGAGCUGGUCUGAGAGGAUGACCAGCCACAAUGGAAAUGGGACACGGUCCAGAUGUCUACGGUAGCCGUGAGUGGGGAAUAUUGCACAAUGGGCGAAAGCCUGAUCCAGCCAGGCCGUGUGUGUGAAGAAGGUCUUCGGAUUGUAAAGCACUUUAAGUUGGGAGGCGUUACCAACAGAAUAAGCACCGGCUAACUUCGUGCCAGCAGCCGCGGUAAUAC
rnacentral:rRNA from 1 species